GAUGAAGAACGCAGCGAAAUGCGAUAAGUAAUGUGAAUUGCAGAAUUCAGUGAAUCAUCGAAUCUUUGAACGCACAUUGCGCCCGCUAGUAUUCUGGCGGGCAUGCCUGUCCGAGCGUCAUUUCAACCCUCAAGCCCCCGGGCUUGGUGUUGGGGAUCGGCGAGCCUCCGCGCCCGCCGUCCCCUAAAUCUAGUGGCGGUCUCGCUGUAGCUUCCUCUGCGUAGUAGCACACCUCGCACUGGGAAACAGCGAGGCCACGCCGUUAAACCCCCAACUUCUGAACGUUUGACCUCGGAUCAGGUAGGAAUACCCGCUGAACUUAAGCAUAUCAAUAAGCGGAGGA
rnacentral:misc_RNA from 1 species